AUUGAACGCUGGCGGCAGGCCUAACACAUGCAAGUCGAGCGGAUGAAGGGAGCUUGCUCCUGGAUUCAGCGGCGGACGGGUGAGUAAUGCCUAGGAAUCUGCCUGGUAGUGGGGGAUAACGUCCGGAAACGGGCGCUAAUACCGCAUACGUCCUGCGGGAGAAAGUGGGGGAUCUUCGGACCUCACGCUAUCAGAUGAGCCUAGGUCGGAUUAGCUAGUUGGUGGGGUAAAGGCCUACCAAGGCGACGAUCCGUAACUGGUCUGAGAGGAUGAUCAGUCACACUGGAACGGAGACACGGUCCAGACGCCUAAGGGAGGCAGCAGUGGGGAAUAUUGGACAAUGGGCGAAAGCCUGAUCCAGCCAUGCCGCGUGUGUGAAGAAGGUCUUCGGAUUGUAAAGCACUUUAAGUUGGGAGGAAGGGCAGUAAGUUAAUACCUUGCUGGUUUGACGGUACCAACAGAAUAAGCACCGGCUAACUUCGUG
rnacentral:rRNA from 1 species